GACGAACGCUGGCGGCGUGCUUAACACAUGCAAGUCGAACGGAAAGGCCCUGCUUUUGUGGGGUGCUCGAGUGGCGAACGGGUGAGUAACACGUGAGUAACCUGCCCUUGACUUUGGGAUAACUUCAGGAAACUGGGGCUAAUACCGGAUAGGAGCUCCUGCUGCAUGGUGGGGGUCGGAAAGUUUCGGCGGUUGGGGAUGGACUCGCGGCUUAUCAGCUUGUUGGUGGGGUAGUGGCUUACCAAGGCUUUGACGGGUAGCCGGCCUGAGAGGGUGACCGGCCACAUUGCGACUGAGAUACGGCCCAGACUCCUACGGGAGGCAGCAGUGGUGAAUAUUGCACAAUGGGCGGAAGCCUGAUGCAGCAACGCCGCGUGCGGGAUGACGGCCUUCGGGUUGUAACCCGCUUUCGCCUGUGACGAAGCGUGAGUGACGGUAAUGGGUAAAGAAGCACCGGCUAACUACGUG
rnacentral:rRNA from 1 species